CUGAAUAUCCACCCUGGGAUAUGACUUGCAAACAGGGCACUAGCCUGGAUGUGUUUCUUUGCCAGUGACGCCCUCAAAAGAAAGAUACUCAGAAUUAAAUCCACACACAUUAUUUCUUUACCAUUUCUCUAUUGCAAUUGAUUCCAGCAGCCUGUAGGAUAAAAAGCCUAGAAUGGCAUUUUUUGCAAGCAUCAGCUCAUUCUAUGACAUAACUGCCCUGACAUAAUUACUUAAGGUUUGUGUCAUCAUUGGGACAUUAGGAUUUCUCCCCAAGUCCUUAACAGGUGGGAUAAUUACUUCUUUUAAUACUGAGUCUAUAUUUUUGUUAACACAGCUGAGAAAGACAUUAGCUUCCUGGUAGGCACAUCACAUCAGUGACCCACAGUGAGCCUAUAGUUAACAAAAGCUUUAAGGUGAUUUUCACAUUUACUCCUGUUAACAUGGUCAAUGGCCCCAAAGCCAGGUAUGUGUAGUUAAUUUUUUUUAACCUAAGGAUUAGACUUUACAUUUGUCUCUAAGUGUUACCUUCUUAGCUAUCUAUAUAUUUGAAUCUGUUUUCCCUUCCAAUAUACUCUCAUCCAAGAUCUAUAUGAUCAGUAUAUUUGAAAUUCCAAGCUUUGGUGUCUUCAUCUAUAAUUAAUAUUAAUAUUUAAAAAUAUUGGCUUAGGAUGGCAGUAGUUUUUGAAUUAUCUACCAGAUAUCUGCCCAUAAAAGAGUAGUCAUGUGCAUAUUCGUCUGGGCAGCUAUGCAUUCUUCUUAGCAUAGGACCAGUUUCAAACAUAGGCCACUGUUUCAAUCUUUGAUACAGGAUCACCAGAGGAAGUUUGCUAGGAGUUUGUUGGUGCAUGGAGUGGGAGUCUGGAAGUUACUAUGGGCCUGUUGCUGGAGCAAUGACCAAUGAAGUGAUACAUAUUUAAGGAAGCAUCAAGGUGCUGUCCAAGUGUGGAACUUUUUUGAAGACUCCAGGCAAGAGGUGACAUUCUCUUCCAGACCGGAGACUUAAAACUUUAUUCUUAUCACUGCUGCACUGAGAGCGGCCAGAGGGCUCUGUUCUACUACUCAUCACUGGGUCCUAGGCCGCAGGACCUAAAUCCUGCCAGCAACCGUGUGAGCUUGGAAGUGGAUCUCUCCCCACUCAAGCUUUUGGAUGAAACCUCAGUUCUGAUUGAUACACUGAUUACAGCCUCAUGAGAGAUCUUAAGGCAGAGCCCCCCAAUUAAGUCAUGCCUGCAUUCCUGACCCACAGAAACUGUGAGGUAACAAAUGUGUGCUAUUUAAGCCACUAAGUUAUUAUGGACAAUAAUAAUAUAAUUAUGAUAAUGUUAUUGUGAUAACAUUAUUAUGCAGUGAUAACUGA
rnacentral:lncRNA from 1 species